GAAAACCAUCUCCAUCAUUGUUUCUUCUUCUUCUUAUUCUUCUUCUUCUUCACCGCUCGAAUCUCUUCCAAGUUUUCAUAUCAAUGUUAAUCGCGAUCUGAAUCCUUUUCUCGGACAAGCUAGUGCUGAUUUUGAUUUUGAUUGAAAUCUGAAUCGUGCUCUAGUCAUCAGAUCUUGAGCAGGGGUUUAGUGUUGGGAGUGUUGCUGUUUGCUCUCGUCUUCGUAUUUGUCUCUGCAGACGAUGUUGUUGUGCUCACCGAAGAUAACUUUGUGAAGGAGGUUGGUCAGGACAGAGGAGCACUUGUUGAGUUUUACGCUCCUUGGUGUGGGCACUGUAAAAAGCUUGCCCCUGAAUAUGAAAAGCUCAGUUCCAUCUUCAAGAAAGCCAAAUCUGUUUUAAUUGGCAAGAUAUGAGAGCAUUCAGCAAGUUUAGGGGGUUGGAGUUGUUCUUCAAAGACGAGAGCAGGCAUGGCGUUUCCAUGUUUUUAUCUCUACGAGCUUGUUCAGCACGCUGGAAAUGUAUUGCUUAGAUUGUAAGUGCUUUUUUCAUAUCUCCGAUGAAGCCUAUGCAUUUCAGGUAUUUAUAUAUGCACAAAAAUUUUUAAACAAGAUA